CCUUCAGCUUUGGCGCAGUAGGUAACGCAUCAGUCUUGCAAGCUGAAGGUUCUGAGUUCGAUCCUCGGAAGGAGGG
rnacentral:tRNA from 1 species